rnacentral:rRNA from 1 species
AGUGAACGCUGGCGGUAGGCCUAACACAUGCAAGUCGAACGGCAGCACAGUAAGAGCUUGCUCUUACGGGUGGCGAGUGGCGGACGGGUGAGGAAUACAUCGGAAUCUACUUUUUCGUGGGGGUUAACGUAGGGAAACUUACGCUAAUACCGCAUACGACCUACGGGUGAAAGCAGGGGAUCUUCGGACCUUGCGCGAUUGAAUGAGCCGAUGUCGGACUAGCUAGUUGGCGGGGUAAAGGCCCACCAAGGCGACGAUCCGUAGCUGGUCUGGGAGGAUGAUCAGCCACACUGGAACUGAGACACGGACCAGACUCCUACGAGAGGGAGCAGUGGGGAAUACUGGACAAUGGUCGCAAGCCUUAGCCAGCGAUACCGCGUGGGUGAAGAAGACCUUCGGGUUGUAAAGCCCUUUUGUUGGGAAAGAAAAGCAGCAGGUUAAGACCCCGCUGUUCUGACGGUACCCAAAGAAUAAGCACCGGCUAACUUCGUG